rnacentral:rRNA from 1 species
GAUGAACGCUGGCGGCGUGCCUAAUACAUGCAAGUCGAGCGAACGGACGAGAAGCUUGCUUCUCUGAUGUUAGCGGCGGACGGGUGAGUAACACGUGGAUAACCUACCUAUGAGACUGGGAUAACUUCGGGAAACCGGAGCUAAUACCGGAUAAUAUUUUGAACCGCAUGGUUCAAAAGUGAAAGACGGUCUUGCUGUCACUUAUAGAUGGAUCCGCGCUGCAUUAGCUAGUUGGUAAGGUAACGGCUUACCAAGGCAACGAUGCAUAGCCGACCUGAGAGGGUGAUCGGCCACACUGGAACUGAGACACGGUCCAGACUCCUACGGGAGGCAGCAGUAGGGAAUCUUCCGCAAUGGGCGAAAGCCUGACGGAGCAACGCCGCGUGAGUGAUGAAGGUCUUCGGAUCGUAAAACUCUGUUAUUAGGGAAGAACAUAUGUGUAAGUAACUGUGCACAUCUUGACGGUACCUAAUCAGAGAGCCACGGCAAACUACGUGCCAGCAGCCGCGGUAAUACGUAGGUGGCAAGCGUUAUCCGGAAUUAUUGGGCGUAAAGCGCGCGUAGGCGGUUUUUUAAGUCUGAUGUGAAAGCCCACGGCUCAACCGUGGAGGGUCAUUGGAAACUGGAAAACUUGAGUGCAGAAGAGGAAAGUGGAAUUCCAUGUGUAGCGGUGAAAUGCGCAGAGAUAUGGAGGAACACCAGUGGCGAAGGCGACUUUCUGGUCUGUAACUGACGCUGAUGUGCGAAAGCGUGGGGAUCGAACAGGAUUAGAUACCCUGGUAGUCCACGCCGUAAACGAUGAGUGCUAAGUGUUAGGGGGUUUCCGCCCCUUAGUGCUGCAGCUAACGCAUUAAGCACUCCGCCUGGGGAGUACGACCGCAAGGUUGAAACUCAAAGGAAUUGACGGGGACCCGCACAAGCGGUGGAGCAUGUGGUUUAAUUCGAAGCAACGCGAAGAACCUUACCAAAUCUUGACAUCCUUUGACAACUCUAGAGAUAGAGCCUUCCCCUUCGGGGGACAAAGUGACAGGUGGUGCAUGGUUGUCGUCAGCUCGUGUCGUGAGAUGUUGGGUUAAGUCCCGCAACGAGCGCAACCCUUAAGCUUAGUUGCCAUCAUUAAGUUGGGCACUCUAAGUUGACUGCCGGUGACAGACCGGAGGAAGGUGGGGAUGACGUCAAAUCAUCAUGCCCCUUAUGAUUUGGGCUACACACGUGCUACAAUGGACAAUACAAAGGGCAGCGAAACCGCGAGGUCAAGCAAAUCCCAUAAAGUUGUUCUCAGUUCGGAUUGUAGUCUGCAACUCGACUACAUGAAGCUGGAAUCGCUAGUAAUCGUAGAUCAGCAUGCUACGGUGAAUACGUUCCCGGGUCU